AGCGAACGCUGGCGGCAGGCCUAACACAUGCAAGUCGAACGGGAGAGGGGCAACCCUCUUCAGUGGCGGACGGGUGCGUAAUAUAUAGGAAUCUGCCCUAAAGUGGGGGACAACUCGGGGAAACUCGAGCUAAUACCGCAUAUUCUUUACGAAGCAAAGUCGGGGACCGUAAGGCCUGACGCUUUGGGAUGAGCCUAUAUCGGAUUAGCUAGUUGGUAGGGUAAAAGCCUACCAAGGCAACGAUCCGUAGCUGGUCUGAGAGGAUGAUCCGGCAAACUGGGACUGAGAGACGGGCCGGACGCCCACGGGAGGCAGCAGGGGGGAAUAUUGGACAAUGGGGGGAACCCUGAUCGAGCCAUGCCGCGUGUUGGAAGAAGGACUUAUGGGUGUAAAGCACUUUAAGCGAGGAGGAGGCUACUGAGACUAAUACUCUUGGAUAGUGGACGUUACUCGCAGAAUAAGCACCGGCUAACUCUGUGCCAGCCGCCGCAGUAAUAC
rnacentral:rRNA from 1 species